GUGUCAGCAGCCGCGGUAAUACGUAGGGUGCGAGCGUUAAUCGGAAUUACUGGGCGUAAAGUGUGCGCAGGCGGCGCUGCAAGUCGAGUGUGAAAUCCCCGAGCUUAACUUGGGAAUUGCGCUCGAAACUAUGGCGCUGGAGUAUGGCAGAGGAAGGUGGAAUUCCACGUGUAGCGGUGAAAUGCGUAGAGAUGUGGAGGAACACCGAUGGCGAAGGCAGCCUUCUGGGCCAUUACUGACGCUCAUGCACGAAAGCGUGGGGAGCAAACAGGAUUAGAAACCCUGGUAGUCC
rnacentral:rRNA from 1 species